AGGAUAGUUUCUUUGCUAGUUUUUGCUGGGAUGGUGAAUUACGAUUGGACCUGGAUUGGCUUCAUACCCAAUUGACACAGUGCGCAGAAGGAUGAUGAAGAUAUGCUAUCAUUUCAAGGAUGCAAAGUAGUGAACUGGAUGGUGGUGCUGAUCAAACAACACUAUUAAUUACUGCAGAGGCUGUGCCAAAGAGAAUCCUCGAGUUCAUGAAUGUGCCUGGCUUGACUAGGGAGAACGUAGCUAGUCAUUUGCAGG